AGAACGAACGCUGGCGGCGUGCCUAACACAUGCAAGUCGAGCGCGAAAGGUUUUCGGACUGAGUAAAGCGGCGGACGGGUGAGUAACGCGUGGGAAUCUGCCUGGUAGUGGGGGACAACGUUCCGAAAGGAACGCUAAUACCGCAUACGCCCUACGGGGGAAAGGGGGGAUCUUCGGACCUCUCGCUAUCAGAUGAGCCCGCGUCGGAUUAGCUAGUUGGUAGGGUAAAGCCUACAAGGCGACGAUCCGUAACUGGUCUGAGAGGAUGAUCAGUCACACUGGAACUGAGACACGGUCCAGACUCCGUACGGGAGGCAGCAGUGGGGAAUAGUUGGACAAGUGGGGCAACCCGUGAUCCAGCCAUGCCGCGUGUGUGAAGAAGGCCGUUAGGUAGUAAGCUACUUCGUAGGUGGGAAGUAAAGGUGGUUACGAACUUAAGUACGUAGUAAA
rnacentral:rRNA from 1 species